CUCUCUCACCACAGCCCUUCCCUUUUCCUAUGUUACUUCCCAUUUUCAGCCCUCCAUUACAAGUUUACAGAUCACAAGGUCACUGAAAUAAAUCACUAUGUGAAAAAAAACAGCUAUGAAAUAGUUGAAGAAUUUUCCUUCUAGUUUAAAGGAAAACCUGGAAAAUAUUUUCAUCUAUAUGUCUAGCAAUCUCCUUAUUCAACAACAUUUCACAACAGGGAGCUGUAUCAUUCAUUUUGGAAAAAACCUGUAUUUCCUUCUGCCUUGAGGACUUCGUUUAACAUUUGUCAGGCAAGGCUGCUGAUGGUGGUCAACCACAGUGUGCAAGUCAAUGGCAAGGAUGUGGCAUCCAACAGCUCCCUCAUCGCUGUGUGCAGCUCAAUGGAAAGGCUGUGUUUUGAUUUGCAAAAUGGCUAUGAUUUGCAAAAUGCAACAUCUGUUCCAAGUAAACAAAUAUUCCAAACCACCUCUUGAACUGGAAGUUUGGAUUCAGCAGCACUGCUUUCUGUCUUGUUUUUCCAGGUAGAAUCUGAUCACAAUUGUCUCUCUCUCAGCCUUACCUCACCCCCAUGUUCUUGGGUCAUAAACACCACCCUUUGGUGCCACCCUCCUGGCCUACCCUCACUGCACCUGGCCUACCCUCUCCAAAGCCAUUGCUCACCACCUCCUGGUAGUGUACAAUAUAUCUAGGAAAUAGACUCUCAGUCCCAAGGACUUUGGGCCAACCCAUUUGUGUCUGCCUCUGACAAGCUAAGCUACCAUGACCUUUCCAGACUUCAACUCCCCAGUGUGAAGAUUCCUAGGACCCCAGCCUCACUCCCUCCUCACUGUGUACACUCAACCUUGAACUGGCCAGCAGCCUUGUGUUUCACCUCUUCCGAUGACACACACAUUCUCUCAUCGACCACCAAAUUUCCCCCUUAGAUUGGUUUCUGAGGGCUUUCAGUCCACAGAACAUCUUGAACUGGAGUGUCUUGCUACCAACUCAAAUUAAUCUUGGGAGGCUGAGCAUGGUGGCUCAGGCCUGUAAUCCUAACACAUUGGGAGGCUGAGGCAGGCCAAAGAA
rnacentral:lncRNA from 1 species